rnacentral:rRNA from 1 species
GACGAACGCUGGCGGCGUUCUUAACACAUGCAAGUCGAGCGGAGCGGCGAACGGGUGAGUAACGCGUGAGUAACUGCCCCCCUCUCUGGGAUAACAGUUGGAAACGGCUGCUAAUACCGGAUAGUGGGGGAUGAAUCGCGUCCUAUCAGCUUGUUGUUGGGGUAGUGGCCUACCAAGGCGACGCCGGGUAGCAGGCCUGAGCGGGCGCCCGGCCACAUUGGGCUGGGAUACGGCCCAAACGCCUACGGGAGGCAGCAGUGGGGAAUAUUGAGCAAUGGGGGAAACCCUGAUGCAGCAACGCCGCGUGCGGGAUGACGGCCUUCGGGUUGUAAAACGCGUUCAGCCAUGACGCGGUAGUGGCAGAAGAAGCACCGGCUAACUACGUGCCAGCAGCCGCGUAAUUC